ensembl:lncRNA
CGUGGACUCUGCCAUGUCUUGCCCAGCCAUCAAAUGAUGGAUCUGUGAGCCAGAGUGUUCCCUGGUAGCUACCGCGUAACGGUCACGGCUUUAGGAGCAAUGGAUUUGGUAGUGAACAAAAGACGUACAAAUUUGGGUUGUUAUGGGCAGAAACCCAAAGAGUGAAGCCGCCGAUCAGACAAUAGAUGGAGGAGAGCUGGGAAGAAGUGUUAAGUAUAAACGGCCGAGGGAGGGACGGCUUUCGAAUGCUAGAGGAGUAUCGUUGUGGCUGGAGUGCGAGGGAAGAAAUGUCAAAAUGGUGACCUGGAUCGUGAUGCCUAGCACAGCUCACAGCAGUCCCUCAAUGCCAAGAUAAACUCAAUUGUUUCUAAACAAUUGAUUGCCUCACCUGCUUAUGAAGUCGUUCUUGGCCUGUGAGAGGUAGCAUGCCUAAGGACGUCCUGGAUUUUCCCUGCAUUGUCCUUCCACUGGAGGUGAGGUCCCCGGAUAAAUGUGGGGAGGCAAGCAUAGUGCUCCGGUGUAAUAUUUUUAUUACUCAAGGACCUGGUGCAGAUUUGGGAGUAC